UACGUAGGGUGCGAGCGUUAAUCGGAGUUACUGGGCGUAAAGCGCGCGCAGGCGGUUUUUUAAGUCAGAUGUGAAAUCCCCGGGCUUAACCCGGGAACUGCGUUUGAAACUACAAGGCUAGAGUGUAGCAGAGGGGGGUGGAAUUCCACGUGUAGCAGUGAAAUGCGUAGAGAUGUGGAGGAACACCGAUGGCGAAGGCCGCCCCCUGGGCUAACACUGACGCUCAGGCGCGAAAGCGUGGGGAGCAAACAGG
rnacentral:rRNA from 1 species